rnacentral:lncRNA from 1 species
CAGAACCGGUUGCAACUUCAACUCCACCUCUAAACCUGUUUGCCAAACCGGCGACUGCGAAAGCCUGCUCUCAUGCAAUGGAACUAUAGGCAUGCCUCCUGCCACACUUGUGGAGGUAGAGUGUUAUUUUUAUUUUUUUAAAAAAAACUCUUUUCCUUGUUAUAUCCAUUCUACAUCUCUGUUAAGCCUGGCUGGAUGAUUGUGAUAUGUGAACAAUACCAUGACAUUAUGAUUUGAAAGUAAAUCUAUAGCAAAAAUAACUUUUCUGGAAUCCAAAACUUUCCUCUUUUCCUUGUAAUAUUCAUUCUACAUCCUCUGUUAAGCCUGUUUGGAUGAUUGUGGUAUGUUAACAAUGCCAUAACCUUAUGAUUUGAAAGUAAAUCUAUAGCAAAAGUAACUUUCUGGAAUCCAGAAGUUUAGUCUUUUCUACAUCCUUUGUCAAGCCUGUUUGGUUGAUUGUGAUAUGUCAACAAUACUGUAAAAUUAUGAUUUGAAAGUAAAUCUAUAGCAAAAAUAACUUUUCUGGAAUCCAAAACUCUACUCUUUUCCUUGUAAUAUUCAUUCUACAUCCUCUGUUAAGCCUGUUUGGAUGAUUGUGAUAUGUUAACAAUACCAUAAGAUUAUGAUUUGAAAGUAAAUCUGUAGCAAAAGCAACUUCUCUGGAAUCAGAACAAAAAACAAAAAAAAAAACUUCAUAACCAGCAAUAUUCAUGUCAAAAUACGAGGAAUAUGACUGCUUUCGCAAUAAACCUACAGUUGAUUAGUACCUUUAUGAUAUGUAGAUAUCAAAAUUUUAUAGAGAAGAGAAUGCAUCUGACUAUGCCUUGUUAAGAAAAUGGAUGCUACCUGCCUACUUGUGCAUUGGCUUGUGCAGGUUGCAUUGCAGGAAGAUAAGAGCAAACCUAGCUUCUAUGAUGUUAGUGUGGUUGAUGGGUACAAUCUACCCAUUUCUGUCUCAACCAAGCCAGCCGAUCGAAAGUGUUGGAUUGGUGGGUGCACAAAGAGCAUUAACAGCGUAUGCCCACCAGAGCUCCAGGUUUUAGAUCAAAGUGGAGGUAUCAUUGCAUGCAAGAGUGCAUGUCUGGCAUUCAAUUUGGAUGUGUUUUGUUGUCGAAAUUCCUAUGGGAAGCCAGAAAAGUGCAAGGCCAGCAUGUACUCUAAGAUGUUCAAGGACGCUUGCCCUUCCUAUUUUAGCUAUGCUUAUGACACUCCAUCUCCACUUGUGAAUUGCUACUCCAAAGAUUAUGUAAUCACCUUCUGCCCCUCCAAAUGGAAAACUCACCUGUCUAUGUAAUUGAAAAUCAUACUACCGGGACAGUAUACACUGUUUAGCUACCUUUGUAAGGAUAAAAGAAAUUAUAUGCAACAAGUUUCUUCAUAACUACAAAAAUGGAGAACUUUAGUAAACUUUAAGACCAUACCAAAGUAACUAUUGGCUUUAACAAAACCAUUAUGAUCUGCCUCCUCUUCUUUUCAAGAAAUGAGUCACAAGGAGAAAUGCUGGAUUGAUGCAUGCGAGGGAAAUAAACAUUAGUAUGCUUUGUGUCACACAAUAUUGCCUGAACUGUGUGCCCAAGUAGAUAUAGCACCAGAUUUUCACAAAAUUUAGCUCAAGUUGCUUGAUUGUUGACAAUAGUGACAUUUUAUUACAUAUACACUCGCAUGCACGGACAUGCACACACAUGAAUAUAUACACAUUGGACAUAGGGAGACACACAGAUACAUGUAUAGAUAGGCAGGUAUGUACAUGAAUGUGUGUCCGCAAGGAUAACGACAUCUCUUGAAAAUCUUUAGGAAAUGGGCACACCUUAGAUAAAAGAAGACAAUAUCUUGAUCUUGAACAAGGUUCAAAAUUUAUUUCCCUUAAAUCUUAAAAUAUUUUUUGUUUUUUCCUAAAUCUUCAGCCAAAUUCAUCGAAAGAAUAUUUAGAAGACCAAUUAAUUGUUAAAUAUUUUGAUUUUAAAAAAGGCAUUUGUCAUUUAAUUUUCUUCAUUAAGUAAUCCAACAUGAAAUUUGGUCUUUCAAGGCCGUAUUUAAUCCAGCGGACCUAACGUGUUACUUUAUGUUAGCUCAAGGCCAGCCACACCCAAGUUGUGACUUUGGAACCCUGAAAUAUCUCAAAGAUGUGGUUUAGGUAAUUUAAUGCCUUGUCUUCUAAUUUGCUAGAUAUGCUCAGCUGGAGAUUGUGUUUUUUUGAAGAUGCAUGAGCUAGUCUCCAAGACUAUUUCCGCUGGAGCUAGUCAUAGCAACCCUUUCCAAUAAAUCUAGCAAAAAUAUGACUAUUUGAGAGGGCGUGCCUUGGUAUAGAAAAAUCUAAAAAACAUCUCUCGCAGCAUAAUUUUCAGAGUAUCAUUUCGUAACAAAACUUUAGUACAAGGACAAAAUAAAUAUUUAGGUUCCUUUUAUGAAAAAGGUUCUAUCACAAGGAUUAAAAUGUAAUUAAUGAAGGUUUUUUGUAAAAUAAUAUACUUCUCAGGGGCUUACUGCAAAUAUUUUAUUUAUUUAUUUAUUUAUUUAUUUAACUAGAUUCAGAUUUCAGAUCGAAACCCAAAACCCAAAACUCGAUUAGACUCCUUAUUGUUCCAUAGCGAUUGGGUGGAGAAUGGCCUCAGAUUCAGAGGCCCAUCCUCGCCAAAAGACUGUUGGCAACUGCCGAAAUUCUUUGAUCAACAACCCACCACCUUCUUCUUUGCCUCACAGAACCCUCGCAUUGCCUCCUCAUCCUCCCCCUCUGUCAUCCCCAGUGAAGGUCGCGACCGCCGUCCGAGAAGUAUCCCCAUCUCUAACUUGUGAAUGAUGAAGACUGCUCCCCCGAGUUAAUGGGAAUCUCCGAUGAGUAGGGGGAGAAGGCCAAGCCGCCCUCGAAGGUGGAUCCGCCGAAGGACGAGGAUGAAUGGGGAAGAGAGCAAGGGAAGGCUGGCGUGACGACAUGAAUCGUAGACUAGUGGGGGGGGGGGAAGGAGGCGAAGCCGCUGUCGAAGCUGAUACGCCCAUGGACGAGGAUGAGUGGGGGAAAUAGUCGCGACUAGGAGGAAUGACGGCUGAGAACCUGAGCGCCGUCAUCCCUUCUUCUUCCUUUUUUUUUAAUAAUCUGAUUUCUUCUUUAUUUGAUCUAUUAUUUUGAUUUAACCUCCUACAAAAUCCAGGAUCUAAUACCAAAUAUUGCAAUUUCGUGGACUACAUACAGAAGAUUAAAGCACAAGAUGAACAAACCAUAAAUCUACUCAAAGAAGAUUGAAAAGUACCAUGAUAGCCCUAAGUAGUCAUUGUUGAUCACUACAGCAAUAUUCUGCGGAAGAUGUAAGCACAGAAAUGGGAUAGAUCUUCCUCUUCUUCUCUUUCAUGCUUGUCUCUUCAAUAGAAUAGGUCCCUCCAGGUCUAGGAACGCAAAGAUCUUAAUGCUCUAGAAUUUCUCUAAGGAC